rnacentral:misc_RNA from 1 species
GCCUAUUUGAGAAGUAUAUCUGUAUCGUGUUUUUGGGGCUUGCCAGAAGGGGGGUUUGUAGAUCAAGGAGUGGACUUUUCCGACUUUUCCGACUUUUCCGACUUUUCCGACUUUUCCGACUUUUCUGACUUUUCUGACUUUUGAACUGGUGAUGCCCCGGACAAGAGGAUACAAAUAUCUGAUUAUUUUUAUCCUGUCGCAUCUACAAGUGUCGGUGACUUUGCACUUUCGACAGCCAAAAAUCGCGAUAACCACAUCCCACAUCUCGCUUUUCUCCUCCCAACGGAUACAUGUCCUGAAAAGGAAGGGCUAGAGGGGGAAGAAGUGAGUCAUGGGGACAAAUGGAAGGAUAUCGGGCCCUUUGACGGUACCAUUUGAAAGCCCUCGAUUCCAGGAAUCCAUCCAUAUACUUGGUUUGUCUCUACCGUCGCUUCAGCGUCCAUACGGGAACCCCAAAACAUUACCCCACGUCCAGAAUCAAAAGCUACAUCGUGACCACUAGUGGUUUUGUAAUUGGCUGCUGACGAGGGGAAUCUAUAGCCAGGUCCCGAACACGUUGGAUUUUAAUUGGCGAGUCAGUUCAAAAAGGACAAGCACGUACCGGUAGAUACGACGUGAGACCUAUAGGUCUUCCACGGAUGUACAAGGAACUUGCUCCAUAAUAACGAUGCAAGAACCAGCAUCGUCGUGGUACGGGACUGAGGGUCUCACCAGUCCGUAUUGGAGCUUCUGGUAUUAUUCAUGUCCGAC